CUUACCAGAUACCAAAAAUAACCUCAGAAUGCCAUCUGAGCAAUACUUGACCAAUGAGGGACAAGAUACUUUCAAAGAUGGAGGGAGGGAGAAACAAAGGUUCUCUCGUUCUGUGUGGCGUUUGCCGGGACCAGAGAAGGAAUGCAGAUCAGAACGCCUGUAAAGGGCUAAUAAGCAAUCUAGUUAGAUAUGCGUUAGAUUCUGUUUUGUUUAAAUGGUGGAUAAAAUAAGUUGUGCUGAA